AUGAAUCUUCUGAUUUCAGCAAAACAGCCGUCAGAGUAUAAAACAGUGUGCCUUUUUUUCAUAAAAUACCCUUUAUCCAUCUUUGUGUCAAGACAUCCGCCGAUUAAACCAAACAUUCCACACACACUUGACACUUCAGUCUAUAUAAAUUAUUAUAUAAUAUAUAUAAAUGCUUUUGUACACUCAAAUCACACAUUUUGCUUGUGCUAUCUGCCUUUCGAAAAUACUACUUGGUUUCAUAUUUUAUUAUCCAAUGCAAUAACUUUCAGACAUGUUACUUAAAUGUCUAAACACUGCUGCGUUUAACAGCACAGCGAAUGGCUCUUUUAUUCAUAAUAUAGCUCAUUUUCCUGAGCGUCCUGUUUUCAGCCAGUGCAACAAAAGCCCACAUUUUAAGGCCAUUCAGAUCUGAUUUUGACCUUGAGCCAGCUGUAAAUUGAUGUCAUUUCAUUAUUUCUGUACAGGAUGUAAGCAUCUUAGAGGUUUCCUUAAAUUACUGCUGUGCCAAAUCAUAGUGCUAUGCUGAAAGUGACCACUAUGAAUCACAUUUUAUCGAACAUUUUCAUGAUUUCUCAGAAUUCGUUCACUUUUUUAACACGUUCAUGCAUGAAAUCAGUAUAUACUACAGGAAUCUGUAAUUUUAUAUCCAAUUAAGGUAAAGUACAUUUAUAAUCAUUAUCAUCAAAUUUAUUCAUCAUUAACAUUUCAUCACCUCUCUGCAUACAAACAGUUGGUCAAUGGAAUUUCAGUAUAUAGGCAAUUUGCCAGCCUAAUUAUUUAAAUCAGUCGUCUCAUAAUGCCUAAAGAACAUAUAUAUAUAUGGUUCAUCCCCUUUUCAGCCAUUCAAGUACAUGCACACUUUCUGUUGACAUCUUCAUAGUGAUUUCUGUUAAAGCAGAACAAAGGUCUCAAAAGCAAAUUAUAUGAUGUAACCGUGACUCUCGGGGCCCUACAAACCCUGAUUUUUAACAUCAGGGUGGAAAGUAUGCAAAUGAGAACAAUGUAAGAGAAACACUGAUAAGCAACAGGAAACGUUCUUUUUUAAUGUUAAACCCAGAUGGGGAGCUUCCCUCUGAGUUGCCUGCGAGUAAAGUGCUAGCACAAGUACUGCAACAGAAAGUACGGGGUGAAUACCUACAUAUGACAUUCAUGUGAAAUUUCCCUAAAUAGCUCCUUUGUGUAGGCUUCUUGAUGAGCUUGAAGUAUUUUAGUGUGAAAAACCACAAAUUUGAAUCGCUCCAAGAAGAACUCAAGACACAUUUGACAAGAACAUGCAUAUUAAUCGGAACGAUCAAGAGCACUAUAUACUGUACAUGCAGUUUGAAUGCCAUAUAAUUUCUAAAAAACAACUAAAAUCCUUUUAGAGUAUUAAAACGUUCAUGAAAUGUAGUUUGCAUUGCUAAUGCAUCACAGUUUUCUGUUAUUAAAACUGCUACCGUUUUGCAUGACACAACAUCAAGACGGUCUCCAGAUAAAUGGCUAAAAGUUUUGGUUUGUGUGUGGCCCCCGGAUCCGUUACCUCUAUGAGUGAUGCAUGUUUCCACAGCGCAUGCCUUCUCAAUAGGAGGAUUUCCCCUUGUUGUUCAAAGCUGCACUCAUGAUUCACUGUUUCACUCGCUCUCUUUCUCAUUCCAUCCCUCUCUCUCUCCAACCGAGGGGGCUGUGGAGAAACGAAUAAAGGGGGAGUUUCAAGAGCAAUAUGAGUAAACUGCAAAAGUCUCACCGCAGGCAGGUGGUCAGACGCACUUCAGUGGUCUCAAAUGUGUGUUAUUUCAGCCCUCACGCAUCUUACUGCAAAGUUAGGUGACGUUUGAUGGGAAUCAUUUAAAAAACUUCCAAAUGCAUUACAGUAAUGGGAAUUGGGGGUGAAAUGUGCUUAAUUGUCAUGAAGCUUAUGAUUUCUCUAUAAUCUCUCAUGCAUGAGAUUCACCUGUAAAAGCUUCAUUCCAGUGGAAAACAGACGUUUUCAGAAUAACCGCCGGCAUAUAUUUCUCAAUUUCUUCAGCUUGUUCCUAAAGCUGCAGAGAUCAGAAGAACAUAAUAAGCUCAACACACAGGAAUGUGACAAGAUACACAACAAUUUGCCUGCAGGGGAUUACUUCAUGGAAAUGUAUUCAAAUUAAGAUGAUGGCAUUGCAAAAUAAAGAUGUUAGAGAGCAGCUUUAUAUAUAUAUAUAUGUGUAUGCAUAAUCUUUCCUUAAAAGGACGUAAAACUCUUGAUUACUUUUUUUAAUCUAUUGGCAACGAUAAUAUUUUAUAUUUCUGAUUUGAAGGGUUUUACCAAGUAAAAUCAUCAAAGUAUGCAUGCGAUACACAUGUCACUGAAUUAAAGGGACCAAGAAGUCCUACUAAAUACUGGGACAAAGUUCAGUAGUACAUGAUUACAGUACUCGGCAAAGCUUGGUUUACAUUCCCUGGUGACUGAUAUGCAUGUGUGCGCAUGGGUGCUUGUUUGGUAGCUGACGUAUCACUAUGAUUUCAAGGCCAGAUGGCUUUCUGUGAAGAGGACAAAUGAGAGUUCGAAUGAGUGCAUGUGUGUGUGAAGUGAAUUGGAUUGAUCAGGUCAUUGCAUGAAUGCCAACUCGAUAAAAACGCAGGAAUACAAAGAUAGCAGUAAGUCUUGGCUCUGGCAUUAUAUGCGCUCUGUUCCAUUCCAGGGAGUUGUUUCUGAGAAGUUGGAUUUCGCUGUAUUCACCAUGUGGCACACAGAACCCUAUCAUAGAAGUUAGUCAGAACAAGUCCUGAUGUGACACAAGCACAUUCUCUCUGGAUAUGCGUUUUAAUUUGGUCAGAUAAAAUUAUCUUGAUGUCCAGAUAGUUCCUCGAAUGCUGGGUGCCGAAUUUCAAGCAUGUUACAGGAAAUUUGGUUUUCAGGUAAUAAAAAACAACUAAUUUGUCUAAAUUCAUGAAUUGCAUUUCUCUUACUCACUGGCAAAUAGUUGCCCACCCCCUUCCCCUUUUAAGCAUAAGCUACAAUAAAUUUAGUGUGAUUUAUGCUUAAUAAUAUUAAUAAUUAGCCAAUGGGAUAAGAAAAAUAAAGUUAAUUCAGUGUAUUUUCUC
rnacentral:lncRNA from 1 species